rnacentral:rRNA from 1 species
GUGUCAGCAGCCGCGGUAAUACGUAGGGACCAAGCGUUGUUCGGAUUUACUGGGCGUAAAGGGCGCGUAGGCGGCAUUGUUAGUCACUUGUGAAAUCUCCGGGCUUAACUCGGAACGGCCAAGUGAUACUGCAGUGCUAGAGUGCGGAAGGGGCAAUCGGAAUUCUCGGUGUAGCGGUGAAAUGCGUAGAUAUCGAGAGGAACACCUGAGGUGAAGACGGGUUGCUGGGCCGACACUGACGCUGAGGCGCGAAAGCCAGGGGAGCAAACGGGAUUAGAUACCCCGGUAGUCCUGGCCCUAAACGAUGAAUACUUGGUGUCUGGAGUUAUUAGUGCUCCGGGUGCCGUCGCUAACGUUUUUAGUAUUCCGCCUGGGGAGUACGCUCGCAAGAGUGAA